AUUUUACUUUAUUUUGAUCUAUUAAUUUCAGCCUUUAACACUUUAAAUUUAGAUAUUCACCAUAUGCUUCAGACAAAAUCAAACACUCCCUUGAGUGGAUACACAUUUUCUGAAAAAGUAACUACAUUGAGACCACUAAAAUGCAUAUUAUUUAGAAUGAAUGUAAUCCAGACAUGAGAUCACACCAUUCACCAUUUACAAAUCCACUCCUGUGGCUUCAUGGGAUUUAAAAGUGGCUUACACAAAUCAGAAUCUCAAGACCAUCUAUAGUCUUUUAUGAGUACUGUGGCAUCAGUAAUACUUCUUUUAUUGUUUUUAUUGUCACAUAUUGGUUAGAGUACAAGAUUCAAUCAUAAAUGUCUAACAAGCCUCUGCCAAACUUAAGUCUAGUCAGUAAGGGUUUUGCAAAAUCUUAAUAAUUAAAGAUAGGCGAGAGUACUAUCUAAUCCAAGCUGAUUAGCAUAGACUACCUGAAUUAAGAGUAGACAAGAUGAAGGGUUGCAGCACAUUUCAGGUUAUCAGUUCACUAUACUGUACUGGAUUAGAUUUAUUUCAAAGAUUUAAAGAGAGAAAUAGGAGUUUAUUAACCCUGGACAGUGAAAAGCCAAAGGUGACUGCAAGAAUUUGCAGAAAGAGACGACGGAGGGGAAGGUCAAGGAUGUCCAUGAAGAUGGGUUUUCAACACAAGAGAGCACAUUAGAGGAUGGAAACGUAGCGGUCACGGUCAGAGCGGGACUGUUCGUGUACAAAACCAAGAGCGUGCAUGAGCUCAUGGGACGCCACUCCUGAC